rnacentral:snRNA from 1 species
ACCGCCAGUUGCAUUAGAAAAACGGCUAGAGUAUCUGUUCUUAUCAGUUUAAUAACGGUUAUGUGGACCAUUGGUUCACACGAUAUUAACUCUAUUUUUUGAGGGGGAUGGCUCAUCAAGGUAGCUUGCUGCCUGGGCCUUCAAGCGUCGCCUAAGCGUUGCAUUACUGUUUUGGCCUGGUGCACCCCAC